AUAUUUCAGAUAACAGAUAUCCUUCUUCGGUAAUAGCACGAUGUCAAAUGAAUCAUGUCAAUAUAUUCAAAUUGAGACACUAUCAAAAUCGUGAAAGUUUAUACAAUUUAAGCGUAUAUCACAGACGCUGGUACAAUUUUAAAAUUUCCAAACAUGGCGCAAAGAUAACAAAGGUAUGCCAAAUAAAAAUAGUGAUUUGCGAUGUGAAC
rnacentral:lncRNA from 1 species